AAUGAACGCUGGCGGCAGGCUUAACACAUGCAAGUCGAGCGCCCCGCAAGGGGAGCGGCAGACGGGUGAGUAACACGUGGGGAUCUGCCCGAUGGUACGGAAUAACUCAGGGAAACUUGUGCUAAUACCGUAUGUGCCCGCAAGGGGAAAGAUUUAUCGCCAUCGGAUGAACCCGCGUCAGAUUAGCUAGUUGGUGUGGUAAAGGCGCACCAAGGCGACGAUCUGUAGCUGGUCUGGGAGGAUGAUCAGCCACACUGGGACUGAGACACGGCCCAGGCUCCUACGGGAGGCAGCAGUGGGGAAUAUUGGACAAUGGGCGCAAGCCUGAUCCAGCCAUGCCGCGUGAGUGAUGAAGGCCUUAGGGUUGUAAAGCUCUUUCGCCGACGAAGAUAAUGACGGUAGUCGGAGAAGAAGCCCCGGCUAACUUCGUGCCAGCCGCCGCCGUAACAC
rnacentral:rRNA from 1 species